GGACCUAUAGCUCAAUGGCAGAGCGCUUCAUUCACAUUGAAGAGGUUAGAGGUUCAAAUCCUCUUAGGUCCA
rnacentral:tRNA from 1 species